AACGAACGCUGGCGGCAUGCCUAACACAUGCAAGUCGAACGAGACCUUCGGGUCUAGUGGCGCACGGGUGCGUAACGCGUGGGAAUCUGCCCUUUGCUUCGGAAUGACAGUUAGAAAUGACUGCUAAUACCGGAUGAUGUCUUCGGACCAAAGAUUUAUCGGCAAAGGAUGUAGCCCGCGUAGGAUUAGGUAGUUGGUGGGGUAAAGGCCUACCAAGCCGACGAUCCUUAGCUGGUCUGAGAGGAUGAUCAGCCACACUGGGACUGAGACACGGCCCAGACUCCUACGGGAGGCAGCAGUGGGAAUAUUGGACAAUGGGCGCAAGCCUGAUCCAGCAAUGCCGCGUGAGU
rnacentral:rRNA from 1 species